AUUGAACGCUGGCGGCAGGCCUAACACAUGCAAGUCGAGCGAGCGGCGGACGGGUGAGUAAUGUAUGGGGACUGCCCGAUAGAGGGGGAUAACUACUGGAAACGGUGGCUAAUACCGCAUACUAUCGGAUAACCAAUAUGGGAUUAGCUAGUAGGUGGGGUAAAGGCUCACCUAGGCGACGAUCCCUAGCUGGUCUGAGAGGAUGAUCAGGCACACUGGGACGGAGACACGGCCCAGACUCCUAUGGAGGCAGCAUUGGGGAAUAUUACACGAGUGGCGCACUCCUUAUGCAGCCAUGCCGCGUGUAUGGAGAAAGCCUUGUUGUUGUAGAGUACUUUCAGCGGGGAGGCGUUAUCCUCAGAAUAAGCACCGGCUAACUCCGUGCCAGCAGCCGCGGUAAUAC
rnacentral:rRNA from 1 species